rnacentral:rRNA from 1 species
GACGAACGCUGGCGGCGUGCUUAACACAUGCAAGUCGAACGGACGGGCCCUGCUUUUGUGGGGUGCUCGAGUGGCGAACGCGUGAGUAACACGUGAGUAACCUGCCCUUGACUUUGGGAUAACUUCAGGAAACUGGGGCUAAUACCGGAUAUGAGCUCCUGCUGCAUGUUGUGGGUUGGAAAGUUUCGGCGGUUGGGGCUGGACUCGCGGCUUAUCAGCUUGUUUGUCGGGUAGUGGCUUACCAAGCCUUUGACGGGUAGCCGGCCUGAGAGGGUGAACGGGCACAUUGGGACUGAGAUACGGACCAGACGCCAACGGGAGGCAGUAGGGGGGAAUAUUGCACAAUGGGCGGAAGCCUGAUGCAGCAACGCCGCGUGCGGGAUGACGUGCUUCGGGUUGUAAACCGCUUUCGCCUGUGACGAAGCGUGCGUGACGGUAAUGGGUAAAGAAGCACCGGCUAACUACGUG